CUACGGGGGGCAGCAGUGGGGAAUAUUGCACAAUGGAGGAAACUCUGAUGCAGCAACGCCGCGUGGAGGAUGACACUUUUCGGAGCGUAAACUCCUUUUAUAUAGGAAGAAGAUGACGGUACUAUAUGAAUAAGCGCCGGCCAACUCCGUGCCAGCAGCCGCGGUAAUACGGAGGGCGCAAGCGUUACUCGGAAUCACUGGGCGUAAAGAGCGUGUAGGCGGAUUUAAAAGUCAGAAGUGAAAUCCUAUAGCUUAACUAUAGAACUGCUUCUGAAACUCUUAAUCUAGAAUAUGGCAGAGGUAGAUGGAAUUUCUGGUGUAGGGGUAAAAUCCGUAGAGAUCAGAAGGAAUACCGAUUGCGAAGGCGAUCUACUAGAACAUUAUUGACGCUGAGACGCGAAAGCGUGGGGAACAAACAGGAUUAGAUACCCGCGUAGUC
rnacentral:rRNA from 1 species